UCCGGGACCACGUCCGCCUCGACUU
rnacentral:misc_RNA from 1 species